rfam:Trichobilharzia regenti genome assembly, scaffold: TRE_scaffold0079458
GUAUUGCUGAAGAGUCCCAAACUAGGACGAAACAGCUGCCCAGUAC